CCGGCCGGUUCGCUCCCGUCAACUCGCGUGCCGCGCCGUGCUCCGUGCCACGCCACAUGUGUGCCUGUUUUUAACUUUGCCUCGUGCACGUAGGCUAUUAGCGCCUUUGCGCUCAAGUUAAUUUAUUCGCCAUGACCGCAAGAAUCGUCUCGCCCGCAAGGGCUUCUCUUGCCGGGCCUGAGUCUGCCAUGAUGGGCUAGGCUCACCCAUUUCGCCCUGCCUCCGUGUCCCUGCUGCCACUUCACCGUCAUCAUCAUGAGCGUCUUUGUUUGCGCCUUUUCACCACGAGGAAGAUUGCUCUUCUUCUUCCCCUGGUGCCGGAAACGCCCAGUGGGGGGAUACUCCUUCCGGUGACGUCAUGUCCGUCAACCACGUGUGGUGUGAAGCUGACGCUAUGUGUGUGUUAUGCCCUAGUGUUUUGGGCUAUUUAUUGAGUGUGUGACGUGACGUAGUUCAUGGUGACGUCACUUGCCUGUAUGUCUCCGCCCGGCUCUGGGGGGGGCCCCCCUUUGCCGCGGUUUGCUUCAUUCCUCAGUGCCUGUACGCUGUAAGGCAACUUCAAUUUGGUGAGUGCACUCCUGUAUUUGUUUUCCUUGGCCAAGGUUUCCCCGUGUGUUUUGUACAUGUUGUAUUUUUGUAUUGUGUACAUAAUUUUUGUACCUACUGUAUUUGUGUACGUCGUUGUUCGUUUGAACACUGUUCUGUGCUUUGCACUUGUACGUUCGUUUAUGAACAUUGGUACAUUCUAGUAAUGCAUUUUGGCAAGCCCUAGUUUAUGGGUCAAUAUUUGCUAUAAUUUUGGUUAUAUUAAAACCUUUGUUUCCCCACUGUUUUAUAGUGGUGGAUUGUCUCCGUUGCUCUUUCUUGAGUUGGCGUUUUUGCCGUAAAAGUACGUUCUGUCAGCAUGCUUUUUGCAUAAUGCUGUUGUGCAUUACUCAUAAUUUUGGGGGGACGCCCCCGACACUAUCAGUUUUUCUGCUCUAAAGCAAAUAUAAAUAUAUUUGAAAUUUUUGGUCCAACGCAUUGAGUAGUACUCUGAUAAUCGAUACAUUGUUUAUGUCAGUGUUUGCGAAGGGUUGAUUUGAUGGUACUGUCGUUGUUUGUGACAAUGUUUUUGAUUGUUGCUAUUGUUAUUGUUUAUGCCAGUGCUUUUUGUUGUUUGUUGUGCACUGUCUUUGUUGUUUUGUGUGAGUUUUCCUCAUAUUCGUCCCUGGUUUGAACAUUGUGAAUUAUGUCGUUGUGUUCUGUAUAUUUGUGAGAUUACUGAAACGAUUAUCUCCGUACAAUAGUAACUUUAUUUAGCUGACCGUUUGUACAAACUAUUUAAAUACCUAUAGUAAAAUUUAUACUCAACGCUUAAGUAAUGCAUUCUAUUCCGUUGUUGAACGUCCGUUCACUCAAAAUUAUUGAUUUCUUGCUCGGUUGUUUUUCUUGCAAUGAUUCUGAGUCCAAAUCAAAUAAGCAGUUGUAAAUACAUUCAGUGUACAGACUUAGUUGUACUUGAACUUGUUGCAUUGUUCUUUCUGCUUUACAAAUCCUGCAAUUCAUUUCGAGAAUUAUUUCAAAACCUUGAGAAAUUCAUUAGUACAGUAUAUUGUGAUUGCCUACUUACCAUAUCUUUUCCUAAACUUCUGCUCACUUGUAAUAGUAAAACUGCAGGGUAUGAGCCCAUUACAGUUCUAGUAGAAAACAUAUAACGGUCUGUAAUUCUGAUCAUUCUUUCGAAUGAUAAUUUCUCUGUUCAUAGUCUAAACUGAUUGUUAUUUCCUGUAGCAUUUCAAUUCUGCCUAUAAUUGCUUAAUUUUGCCAUUUGAUCUAUUUGCAUCUAUCUGAAAGAAAAAAUGUGUUAGUAACUUUAAUCAUCAAUCACUUUCAACUUAAAUGUACUUACCUGUCUGUUGAUACCUGUAAUAGGGACUUGUUAUUGUUACUAUUAUUUUCACAACUUACCUUUGGAUUAUGUCUCAUCUUGUAUGUAUGAAUUAUAUGUGUACCUUGUCUACAAUUGCAACGCUUUAAACCAUUAUAUUAAAGUAAAUUAUGCAUAACAUUGUA